UACAGAGGAGCCAAGCGUUGUCCGGAUUGACUGGGCGUAAAGCGCACGCAGGCGGCUGCGCGCGUGGGGUGUGAAAUCUGGCCGCUUAACGGCCAGGCGCCAUCCCAUACGGCACAUCUGGAGGGCUGCAGAGGUCGAUGGAAUUGCCGGUGUAGAGGUGAAAUUCGUAGAUAUCGGGUAGAACACCAGUGGCGAAGGCGGCUAUCUGGACGACAACUGACGCUGAGACGCGAAAGCGUGGGGAGCAAACAGG
rnacentral:rRNA from 1 species